CAGCCGCCGCGGUAAUACGUAGGGUGCAAGCGUUAAUCGGAAUUACUGGGCGUAAAGCGUGCGUAGGCGGUUUGUUAAGUCUGUUGUGAAAUCCCCGGGCUCAACCUGGGAAUGGCAAUGGAUACUGGCAAGCUAGAGUGUGUCAGAGGAUGGUGGAAUUCCCGGUGUAGCGGUGAAAUGCGUAGAGAUCGGGAGGAACAUCAGUGGCGAAGGCGACUAUCUGGGCCAACACUGACACUGAGACACGAAAGCGUGGGGAGCAAACAGGAUUAGAUACCCCCGUAGUCCCUGUCUCUUAUAC
rnacentral:rRNA from 1 species